CGUGAUGUAGCCAAGCCGGUAAGGCACCGCGCUCAUAACGCGGCCAUCGUUGGUUCGAGCCCAACCAUCACGACCA
rnacentral:tRNA from 1 species